GUAGGUGGCAAGCGUUGUCCGGAAUUAUUGGGCGUAAAGCGCGCGCAGGUGGUUCUUUAAGUCUGAUGUGAAAGCCCCCCGGCUCAACCGGGGAGGGUCAUUGGAAACUGGGGAACUUGAGUGCAGGAGAGGAAAGUGGAAUUCCACGUGUAGCGGUGAAAUGCGUAGAUAUGUGGAGGAACACCAGUGGCGAAGGCGACUUUCUGGCCUGUAACUGACACUGAGGCGCGAAAGCGUGGGGAGCAAACAGGGAUUAGAUACCCUGGUAGUCCACGCCGUAAACGAUGAGUGCUAAGUGUUGGGGGGGGUUUCCCGCCCCUCAGUGCUGCAGCUAACGCAUUGAGCACUCCGCCUGGGAGUACGGCCGCAAGACUG
rnacentral:rRNA from 1 species